AGUGAACGCUGGCGGCGUGCUUAACACAUGCAAGUCGAACGAGAACGGAUUAUAGCUUGCUAUAAUUGUCAGCUAAGUGGCGCACGGGUGAGUAAUGUAUAGGUAAUAUGCCUCUUACUAAGGGAUAACAAAUGGAAACGUUUGCUAAUACCUUAUACUCCUUAUUAACAGAAUUUAAUAAGGGAAAGAUUUAUUGGUAAGAGAUUAGCCUGUAUUGUAUCAGUUAGUUGGUGGGGUAAUGGCUUACCAAGACUAUGACACAUAACUGGUUUGAGAGGAUGAUCAGUCACACUGGAACUGAGACACGGUCCAGACUCCUACGGGAGGCAGCAGUGGGGAAUAUUGCACAAUGGACGAAAGUCUGAUGCAGCAACGCCGCGUGGAGGAUGACACAUUCCGGUGCGUAAACUCCUUUUAUAUGAGAAGAUAAUGACGGUAUUAUAUGAAUAAGCACCGGCUAACUCCGUGCCAGCCGCCGCAGUAA
rnacentral:rRNA from 1 species